rfam:Myotis lucifugus cont2.45469, whole genome shotgun sequence.
GAAAUCAAAUCUGGCUGCGACAUCUGUCACCCCAUUGAUCGCCAGGGUUGAUUCUGCUGAUCUGGCUGGCUAGGCGGGUGUCCCCCUCCCUCACCAAUCCAUGUGCGUCCCUCCCGAAGCUGCGCGCUCGGUCGAAGAGGACGACCUUCCCCCCCGAGGAGAGGACCGGUCUUCGGUCAAGGGUAUACGAGUAGCUGCGCUCCCCUGCUAGAACCUCCAAACAAGCUCUCAAGAUAGGUGCCCUUGACCGAAAUCAAACCCAGGACCCUUCAGGCCACGGCUGAUGCUGUAACC